UCCGAUAUGGUGUAGUGGCUAACAUUAUCGCCUCUCAUGAGAUCAUAGCCAGAGGUUCAAUUCCCCUUGUCGGAA
rnacentral:tRNA from 1 species